AAACAAAUAAUAAUAUUUUACAUAACCAACCACUUCUAAAGAUUAAAAAAACCCCUACGAUUAAAAACCUCAGGUCCCUCAGGCAAUCAUACCAGAUAUUGAAACAAAGCAAUAACAUAAGGACUGCAGUAUUCAUUUUAUUUUUAUAUUAUUUAUUUAUUCUUCCUUAGUUUCUUGAGAUUAUCAUCCGCUGAGGGUGGAAGGGGAGUGAGCAGACACACUCAGGAGGUGUCUUGAGAUUAUCAUCCGCUGAGGGUGGAAGGGGAUAGAGCACACACUCGGAAGGUGUCUUGAGAUUAUCAUCCGCUGAGGGUGGAAGGGGAUAGAGCACACACUCGGAAGGUGUCUUGAGGCUCAGGGAGUUAUCAAUUAUAGAAUGUUGUUGAGUUGGAGGAG
rnacentral:lncRNA from 1 species